AGAUUGAACGCUGGCGGCAUGCCUAACACAUGCAAGUCGAACGGGAGUAGCAAUACUCUAGUGGCGGACGGGUGAGGAAUACGUAGGAAUUUGCCCUUAAGUGGGGGAUAACCCGGGGAAACCCGGAUUAAUACCGCAUGACCUCGAAAGAGCAAAGUGGGGGAUCGCAAGACCUCACGCUUUUGGAGAAGCCUACGUCGGAUUAGCUAGUUGGUGAGGUAAUGGCUCACCAAGGCGACGAUCCGUAACUGGUCUGAGAGGAUGAUCAGUCACACCGGAACUGAGACACGGUCCGACUCCUACGGGAGCAGCAGUGGGGAAUAUUGGACAAUGGGCGCAAGCCUG
rnacentral:rRNA from 1 species